rnacentral:tRNA from 1 species
GCUCCCGUGGUUCAGUGGUAGAAUUCGUCCUUGGUAUCUCCAAGAGAAGAGGCAACUAGGACGAGAUCGCGAGUUCGAUUCUCGCCGGGAGCU